rnacentral:rRNA from 1 species
GCCCGCUCAGAAACUCAAAGGAAUUGACGGGGGCCCGCGACAAGCGGUGGAGCAUGUGGUUUAAUUCGAUGGUACGCGAGGAACCUUACCAGGGCUUGACAUACGUUGGAAGCGCAUCGAAAGGUGCGUGCCGCUUGCGGCCGGCGUACAGGUGCUGCAUGGCUGUCGUCAGCUCGUGCUGUGAAGUGUUGGGUUAAGUCCCGCAACGAGCGCAACCCCUGCUGCCUGUUGCCACCACGAGAGGUGGGGACUCAGGCGGGACCGCCGGUGACAAACCGGAGGAGGGUGGGGACGACGUCAAGUCAUCAUGGCCCUUAUGUCCUGGGCUACACACGUGCUACAAUGGCCGGUACAGAGCGCAGCGAGGCCGCGAGGCGGAGCGAAUCGCUUAAAGCCGGUCCCAGUACGGAUUGGAGUCUGCAACCCGACUCCAUGAAGUUGGAAUCGCUAGUAAUCGCGCAUCAGCAUGGCGCGGUGAAUACGUUCCCGGGCCUU